UACAGAGGGUGCAAGCGUUAAUCGGAAUUACUGGGCGUAAAGCGCGCGUAGGUGGUUCGUUAAGUUGGAUGUGAAAGCCCCGGGCUCAACCUGGGAACUGCAUUCAAAACUGGCGAGCUAGAGUAUGGUAGAGGGUGGUGGAAUUUCCUGUGUAGCGGUGAAAUGCGUAGAUAUCGGAAGGAACACCAGUGGCGAAAGCGGCUACCUGGACCAAUACUGACACUUAGGUGCGAAAGCGUGGGGAGCAAACAGG
rnacentral:rRNA from 1 species